rnacentral:miRNA from 1 species
CGUAUAUGUAUGUGUGUGUAUAUAUAUAUAUACAUAUACAUAUACAUAUACACACACACAUAUAUACAUAUAUA